UACGUAGGUGGCAAGCGUUGUCCGGAUUUACUGGGCGUAAAGGGCGCGCAGGCGGCUGCUCAAGUCAGGCGUGAAAGGCCUGGGCUCAACCCGGGAAUUGCGCUUGAGACUGGGCUGGCUUGAGUGCGGGAGAGGAUGGUGGAAUUCCCAGUGUAGAGGUGAAAUUCGUAGAUAUGCGGAGGAACACCGAUGGCGAAGGCAAUCCCCUGGGCCUGUACUGACGCUCAUGCACGAAAGCGUGGGGAGCAAGCAGG
rnacentral:rRNA from 1 species